GCGCGGGGCGGGGGAGGCGCGCGCCGGAGUUCGCGUCAGCCGGCGGCCGCGCGCACACGCGCUCGCGGAGCGGCCUGCCCCUCCCCCCAGCGCCCUCCAGGCCCGCGGCUCCCCCGGGGUGGGUGCUUGCGGGACUGGCGGGGGCGGGGAGUGGGGCCGGGCGCGCGCCGGGGCGCCCCACCCCGCCCCCGACCCCGCCCCACGCGCCGGCGGCGCGGACCUCCUUGUCAAUGGGAACGCGGGGCCCGGCUGCCCGCAGGGCGGUCAGGUGGGUCCCCCAGCUCGCUGCCAGCACGGCCUCUGUCCCUCUCGGGCCGGCUCUCCAUCUUGUCGCCCGCAGCCCGCCUUCUCCGUAGCUCUCCACCCGCUGGGGCCGCAGAGCUGAGGCCAUGUUACCUCAGGAAACGCGAUGUGGUAGUGGGUCGGAAUAAACCCGCGCGCCCCAGAAUUCGCCUUGGAGGCCUAAGGACAGAUUCGGACUUUUCGUUUCCUAUGUCCACAUUUAUUGAGCACCUAGUAUGUGAGACCCGAGGCUGUAAGAAGAGGAACGCAGCGGGCGGAGAAAAGCCAGAGCGUUUUCUCUGUGAGCCGCUGCCUCCAGGGCCAUAGCCGACCCUGCUCCGAGAUCCCAGCCGCCGCUCUCCGUGCAGGAGGGGUGCCCACCCUGGGGAGGCCUGGGUGCCCGGAGUGGAGGGACAGGGCUUCAAGCGACCGGGAGUUUCCAGCAAACCCCUGAUCCCUGAGCAGUUUAUUUUAAAAGCUUUUGCAAAUGUUGGACGGUUUCGUUUGGUGGAGGCCGUCUUUGCACUAAAUUCUCCUGUCCUCCGCCUUCGAAACGCACAAAAUGAAUUUUGAACAGAUUUUAGAUGAGAGGUUUUCUUCCUUUUUUCAUCUUCUGAAACAUUUCCCCCUCAUUUCUUCUCAGAUAAAGACCCAGAAACCCGGGACAGUUACUCGGUGUACAGCUAGUGAAAUACUGAGGAAACCAGCCGAUAUUUGCCAAAGAUUGGGCAUGUUCUGGGUGGUCUCAGAUUUUGAAGAAACGACUUUUUUACUGCACAAAAUAGUUUUACAAUCAGUUCCAUCAGACAGCCCCAGGGGCUCUCCUAGGGAAAGGGGCCAAUAGGCAAGGUUGCAUGGGGAUAAGAGAGGCAAGCGGCCAGUGGAAAACGUUUUUCUUUCUUUUUCUUUUUUUCCUAACAGUUGGGCAUUUCUGUAGCUCUGAAAGCAAACUUGUUUGUUUCAUUUCAACGAUAGAAAAAAAACACUCCUGUUUUGGAAAUGUAACCCAGCAUAAAAAUACAUUUGCAAUGGGGAAAAAGAAAGCAGUUUAGGGCCACCCAGAAGAAAAUAUUUUUUCCCUGAUUUUUUUUUUUAAAUUUGGUAUUUCCCAGUGUGGGUUUGCCUCAUUUUACAAAUAGCUGCCCAUGUCAAGAUGUGGGUAUGUGAUUUAAAUAUUUUAAUUUGAAUCACAUUUUACAUAGUCUAGGAAACUGACAAAAGAAUCCUAUAGAGAAUUGUUUUAUAAAGUGAAUAACUGCUUCUCUACCUACCCGCCCCCCUCAUUCUUCUUUUCUGUGCGUGUUUUUGGGGGGCUGUUAUGGGAUAAAUCUUGUUUGGCUUAAAAAUCACUAAAACGCAGCCUUUCAAAUCCAAAACAGAGAGCUUAGGUACCCAACAUUCUAUAGAAUGUAUUAUUUCCUCAAGAGGUUGCUAGGAACAGUUAUGUAGAUCUACCAGGUGCAGAGAAGCACUCCACACCCUCACCCAGGUCCUGUAUCCCUGCAAGACUGCGUUGGAAAGUCUGAAGAGUUUUCCCAUCAUUCCUCUGGAGACAGAAGACCUUGCCAAGUGGUCCAAGCUUUGCUGAAGACCUAAGGACUUUGGGAUUGAUAGAGACAAGGUCUUUCUCUGCCACUCAAGCUGGAGUGCAGUGGCAUGAUCAUAGCUCACUGCAACAUCAACCUCCUGGGCUCAAGCCAUCUUCCAACCUCACAGCCACCUGGGUAGCUGGGACUAUGGGUACCCACCCCAUACCCGGAGCUGACAAGCCAUAGCAGGACGGCUGUCCCCGGAGAGAUAGGAGAGGAGGAGAAACAGCCUGACAGGGGCCUGGAGCAGCUGGUUGGCGUCAGUAAUUUCCUGCAGGAGACUCUGCUGGCCGAGCACACAUCACCCUUCUGUUGCUCCUCUGUAUUCUCCCUUGUGCUACUAAAAUACGCUAAUGUAACUCCUGGGCUGUGCUAAGCUAAAUGCAGUUAUUUAACCUCAUUUCUAUGGAACCCAGGUCUAAAGCAGCAACAUCUAUUUGGAACAAGAUGGGAAGGAGCAAGAGUGAAUUCAUGCUCUUCUUCAUGGAGGUGGAUGUUUCUGGAAGGAGGUUUGUGAUGUCCUUUGCAGGGACAUGGAUGGAGUUGGAAGCCCUUAUCCUCAGCAAACUAAUGCAGGAACAGAAAACCAAACACUGCAUGUUCUUACUUAUAAGUGGGAACUGAAUGAUGAGAACACAUGGACACAUAAGGGGAAAUGACACACACUGGGGCCUGUCAGAGCUGAGGGGUUGUGGGGAGAGGGAGAGAAUCAGGAAGAAUGGCUAAUGUAUGCUGUGCUUAAUAUCUAGGUGAUGGGAUGAUCUGUGCAGCAAACCACCAUGGCACACGUUUACCUAUGUAACAAACCUGGACAUCCUGCACAUGUAUCCUAGAACUUAAAAUAAAAGUUGAAGAAAAAAAAAAAAAGAAAAAGUUGUGUGAAGUCUGGAGGUGUAAUGGACAGACACAGGCUUAGGGUGAGGCAGGCCCAUGUUCAGAUCCUUGCUUCCUCACUAAGCUAGCGGGGAGACUGGCUAUAUCACCGAGCCUCAGUUUCCUCACCUGUACAUCUGCUGUAGAAGUGGCACAUCAUAUGCUGUCCUAGCUGUGACCUUCGGUAGCUCAUCACUGCCCUUCUUACUGUUCUCAGGGUAAACCCCUUUCCAGGCAGAGUUGCCAAGACACCCAGUAAAAUUUGAAUUUCAGAUAAAUACUGAAUAAUUGUUUAGUAUAAUGAUGCUCCAAAUAUUGCAUGGGAUAUACUUAACACUAAAAAAAAAUCAUUGUUUAUCUGAAAUUCAGAUUUAACUGGGCAACCUGCAUUUUUAAAUAAACUUUUAAUUUUAGAAUCAUUUUAGAUUUACAGAAAAAAAUAUAAGGAUCGUACAGAGUUACCACACACCCUGCACCCAGUUUCCCCUAUAACUAAUAUCUUACGUCGAGCCAGUGCAGUGGCGCACGUUUGUAAUCCUAGCUGCUCAGGAGGCUGAGGUGGGAGUAUCGUUUGAGCCCAGGAGCUCGAGGCUGCAAUGAGCCAUGAUUGCACCAUUGCACUCCAGCCUGAGUGACAGAGUAAGACGCCAUCUUUUAAAGAAAAAUCUUAUGCCAGUAUGAUACAUUUGUCACAAUUAAUGAACUAAGAUUGAUAUAUUAUCAUUAACUAAAGUCUAUACUUCAUUAGAUUUCUUUAGUUUUUGCCCAGUGUCCUUUUCUAUUCCAGGAUCCUGUCCAGGACACCAUAUCAUAUUUAGUUGUCAAGUCUCCUUAGUUCCUCUUGGCUGUGACAGUUUUUUAGACUUCCCUUGUUUUUGAUGACCUUGACCGUUUUGAGGAGCACUGGUCUGGGGUUUUGUAGAAUGCCCCUCAAUUCAGCCUGUCAGAUAUUUUUCUCAUGAUUAGGCUGGGGUAUUAUUUUUUUGGGAGGAAGACCACCGAGGUCAAGAGCCAUUCUCAUCACAUCUCGUUAAGGGUCUGUACUGUCCAUAUGACUUACCACUGUCGAUGUUGACCUUGAUCACCUGGCUAAGGUAGUGUUCAUCAGGUUUAGCAACUGUAUUUUCAUUUGCUAAAUCUGUAACUCGAUUCCAGGCCUGUCAGUCUUCACGACCAGACCUUUGCUUACUGCUGCUGCCAUUUUUCUGCUCCAACCAUAGUGAACUGCUAACAAUUCCUCUAAUGAACUAUUCUCUGUCUCUCUUACUGCCAGGCCUUAGGGCUUGCUCUUUCCUUUGCCUGGAAUGUUCCACUCCCCCACAGCCUCCCAUCCACACCUCCCCUUCACCCAAUUAACUUACUUUUCAGUUGGGCUUCAGUGUUCCGCUUAGGUCUCACUCCUUCCGGGAAGAUUUCUUGCACCCUCCUCUGCCAAGACCAGGUUAGGUGUUGCUUCUCUGCCCUGGUCCUACUCUGUUGUGAUAUUUACCAUCCUGUGGUUGUGAACUGUUUGCUUGUCUCCCUGACCCCAGUGCAUCCCUGACAUCUUACACAGUGCCUUGUUGCAACUCAAUAAAUAAUUGCUGAAUAAAUGAAUGGUUACACCAGGCACUUCAGGUAAAGCCUUUAACACACUACCUGCCUUGUAAACAGUAGAUGCUCAGUAAAUGCUUGUCUUUUUCAAUGUAGGAAAAAUAAUCUUCCCUAGAUCUGAGCAACUGUACUAAGUUUGUGCUUGCCCGACACCCGCAACACAUGCCCCUACCUGGAGAAGAGAUUCUGGAACAGUGGUCUCCUAGGAUUCCCUGAGAGCCACAGUUACCUGUAUCAAAGUAUCAAGGAGGCCACUUAAUGACAGAGAUAUUAGGGUAAGUAGGCUACUUUCCGUCAGUUUGCAGAUUAAAAAGGCAUCUUUCUCCCAGUGGAGAAACUGAAUUAUGAACCCCUUCGCCCAGAUUUCCAUAGUUGGACGCCCUGACCCAUUGUUUUUUAGUGAAAGGGACAAAGGGACCCACCUCCUUCUCUUUUUGCUGCCCAUGUGCCACACACAUGUAAAUGACAUGUGUACCUAUUGUUGCUUGUCCUUGAUGAUGAGUACACUUGUACAUUGAUAUAUUUGUUAGUGUUUUGCUUUUCACUAAUCCAGCAUAGUUGUGACCCCACCCCUGAGACCUAAAGGAAGGAGACACCUCAUAGGGGGUCUCAGGAAUCUCUGAUGAACCUUAGGACUAAUUAUAAUUCUUUCAUUUAUUAUAACUUCAUGCCAGGUAUUUUAUCUGCCUCACUUCUAAUCCUCUCAAUAACCUUGCAUGUUUUUAUUCAUCCCGUAUUACAAAUGAGAAAGCUAAGGUUUGGGUGCUUAAGAAAUUUUCCCAAAGUUUUUUUUGUGGUGGAGCCAGCUUGGAGCUAGGACAAUAGACUUCAGAGUCUCAGCUCCAUCCUAUCCAUGGUUCAGAAAGUUCUCUAGUUCUGUAAGAGACAGCCAGCAUCCCCCAAGGGCUUGUGCUCAUUGGAAUGGCUCUCGGGUCCACUCCUCCCUUUGUAUCCCCAGGUCACCUCACUAGAGCAGACCUCCAUCAGUCAGUGUUUACCCACCUUCCAGAGCCUCCUUCCUGGACUCUUGCCCCCAGAUUCCCCACCCAUAGCACUCUCACACUGCCAUCGCCCAACUCAGGAUCCCAAGAAUGCCCAUUUUCACCCUUAUAAAUCCUUUGCCUUGCUUCCAAGACCCUAUGGUCUAUUUCUUUUCCAAGCCUUCUCUCCAUGCAUCAGAUUCUUCAUGAAACUUACACUGACUAGUCCCCCACCCAUCUCCCUUUCCUUGGAUCUUCAUGGCACCUAGGUAUGCAAGGCAGAAAGUAGUGUAGAAUGCCCUUCUGGCUUGUGUGGAACCACAGGGGAGUCCCCUGGGUUUCUAAUAUGGUUUCCCCGUCUGGAUUGACACCCCCUGAAGGACAAAAACCUCUUGUUAAAAAAGUCAACUUUAUUGAGGUAUAACAUACAUACACCCUGUUUUAAGUGUUCAGUUUGAUAAGGUUUGACAAAUGUAUACACCCAUGUAACCACCGUCACAACCAAGAUAUAGAACAUUUCUAUCACCCCAGAAAUACCUCUGAGCCCCUUUGUAGUCAAUUCCUCCACCCCCGACCCAGGCAGCCACUUGCUGGAUUUCUAUUAAUAUAGAUUAGUUUUGCCUGCCGUUGAACUCCACAAAAAUGCAGUCACAAAGGGUGUAGUCUUUUGUGUCAGCCUAUUUUGGUUAGCACGAUAUUUUAAAGAUUCCUCCAUACUGUUUAUUACUUUCUUCUUGCUGAGUAGUAUUUUAUGGUAGAGACUAUACUACAACUUGAUUGUCCAUGUUGACUAAAUUUGAGGCUGUUUCACAUUUUUGGCUAUUGUGAAUAAAGUAGCUACGAAUGUUUACACACAAGCCUUUUGUGAAUGUGUUUUCAUUUCUUUUAUUU